GCGGCAGCCGCCGGCGAGCGGACGCGCAGCCUGCCGUGUCGGUGGCGAAGAGCGCGCCGAGGAGCGGCGUUUCCGGACGAGCGGGUGUUUUCUCAGCGUUGGUGCAGCCUUCGCUCACCCAGUCUCUUCCAGGUCUGAGAACUAUAGAUCCCAUCAUCCCCAGUCGACCUGCCUUUGGACGGAUUCUUGAAGAAAGGUACGUCUUGAAAAGUUCAACGCUACCGAAUCUUAAAGGACAGUGUACCCAUUGCUGUGAUCAUGAGAGCUAGAGAGAGUAACCCACAAUAGCCAGCAGCAGAUGCGUUGUGCUCAAGACAAUACAGAAGACUGCAUCAUGCAAAGUACUCUUUGAUUUAGCAAUGUAGGAAAAAGUGCACUUUCUACAUUUCUUCAAUACGAAAGAUGUAAAUGUAACUUUCAGAUUAUAGCCUGUAGAGCUCUUUGUCACAAAAAAUAAAUAUAAUAAAAAUGGCUUUCAUGUUA